UUCAGGUUAAGUACGGACCUCCGGAACGAAUUAAGUACUUAACCCAAGGUACCACUGUACAAACAAGUGGCCUAUUUGGGUUUUGAAUUUGAGACAAUGUGAAAUGCCGUACCCAAACUGGAUGGCAUGAGAAGAGCCAUAUAAAAUCUGAAUUCCAAUAAAAGCAAGUGCACUUGCUUUCCCUCAGGUCUGUUUUAAGAUGCCGCACACUUGUGUGCAACAAUAUCAGUGUUACUGGUGAUGCAUUCUCUUUUCUAUGAUGCAUUAUUCAACACCGAUCGUAGCUGGCUACACAGGUUGAACAGAAGGAAGGAAGAGGGGAAAAGUCACAGUAAGACAACGAUAAAUCAUUUCAGCUCCUUUCCAAAAGGAACUGUGUUAAGAAGGGGGAGGGAUCAUAUCAAUUCCCCCAUUUUUUCAGUAUAAUUUAAUGUAUAACCUCUAAAAAGCAUACGCUGAGCACAUGUAGGGAUUGGGUUUCCACUGAAACACAGCCAUUGCUGUGAUACAAGAGGCCAGCUCACAAAUGCCACAUUGCAAGGACACCAGAACAAAAGGCUGCCUGUAAUAAUUAAUGAUGCCUUGUCUGCCUAUGAGGCAAGCUGAGUGUGACGGAAUUAAAACCUACAGCAACUAGAACUGGACUCUCACUCUUUAGCCCAGUAAAAUGGUGCCUGGCCAUCUGGGUGCAUGUUAUCCAAGAGGAUGACUUUGAACAGUAGAGCCUUCCAUAAAUGCAGGAUCAUGAUUCGGUGCUGUUAUGCAGGCAGCAGUACGUCCAUAUCUUGCUGUAGGCAAAUAGCUCACUCACAUGUGUGGUUUCUGUUUGAAAGAAGAAACGGGUGUGGGUGGAAAGUGUUCUAACAGGCAUGUUUUGUCUGCUCUUCCCAUGAACUCUAUAACCAGCUUGCCAAAAGCAGCGGUCACAUCUCAAUGGUAUCUUGUGUGCAAACAUUCCUAAGUCUUUCAUCAAUGCUCCUUGUCAAAAUGUAUGCUUUAAACUAAAAGUGGUUGCACUCCUCAUUGAUUUCUUUUACUCAAACGAAGCUAAUUUUGGACAGCCGUAAAAGAAAACAAGAUGCCCAGGUCUGGACUCUUCAAAAGAAAUCUCACGCUUCAUGUGGUUUUGGCAGCUGUUUGCCCAUCAUCUGUGGUUCUUCAAAAUACUGACAAUUUGAUGUCUCUGGGUAACAUCAUACUCCAGGAAAAUUAGCUCAAAAUGUCUCCUACUGGCUUCCAUCUGUAUGUCGGUGUACACAGGAACUUGUAUGUAAGCUUGAGAAGCCAGGAGCUUUCUCAAUAAGGAAGCAUCAUGCUGCUUCUCUCCAACAACACAGUUCUUUUUAAGUUCAAAUUAAAACCCUACUGAACAUUACACUUCA